UUUUAAAAAAAAAGAAAAAAAAAAUAUCCUCCCGCAACCGCAAACGCUAGCUGGAACCAGCUUUUGAUUUUAAGAGGUUCGGAGCGGUUUGAAGCGAUUUGUAGCGGUUUAUAUGAUUGUUUUGAAACGCUGUCAACCGCUACCAACCGCAAAAGCUGCGUUUGCGGGUGGUAGCGGGAAAACCAGUCAAGCUCUUAAUGUUCAUGAAAAGAGUAUUUUGACUAAUUCACAUAUUUGACUGGUAAACUGGCAGUCACUUUAAUAUAUAUAGAAACUCUUUAGUCAUUAUUGUAAAGUUAUAGUCAAUAAAUUACUAUGGAAAAUUGGUAAUUCAAUUGGUGAAAAUUGUAAGAGCAUAUUUACAAUUUUAAUACAAUGAGAAUUUGUCAAACUCAAAAUAUAUAUUGUUCUUUCUAUAUAACUUAAAUAUCAACUGAUUUAUGAUUUAAAAUUAAUAAAUAGAUAUAUGAGAGAAGUAUUUCGUAGGAUUUUAAUGAAUUAAAAUUUAUCAUUGAUAAAUUUCAUCGCAUUUUUUAUUUAUUUUCGUUUAUAUUUUUUUAACUUUUGAGUGGUGCCAAUCAAAUCAACACACAUACACAGAAUUUUAAAAAUCAGGAAUAUGUAAUUCAAGAUUAAACAAAAAAUCACAUACAGUGAGACGAUAAAAUUUAAAUACUCAGUAAGAAGCAAGAAAAUUGUGGGAUAAAUAAAGAAAAAAAUGUGAGAGAAUCAAAAGAGGUUCAUGCAUUCUUAAAUUAAGGAACAAGGUUUUAUGACAGAGUAGUACUGGUUUGUUAAAGACUGAGAAGUGAAUAGGAAGAGAUGAAUAUAGUACAUCUUUGAUGAGUAAGAACAGUAUGAAGACGAUGAAUCGACGGAUUAGUGAAGGGUCAUUGAUAUUGUGGUCCAGGAUAUGAGCUAGUGAGAGAUACCAACCAAAACAAAUAAAAAACGUCUAUGACAAAAAAAAUAUUUAUGCGUUUAAAUCUUUUUGGUAUUAAAAUAUGAGAAGAGUUUGCGAAGUGUUAUAAUGUGGAGGUUUUUAAGUAUCUACAGGCUGAAAUUUUUUCGUUGAUAUUAAAAAUCUCAUAGACCCGAAAACUAAUCCUUUUUUAUCUAAGGGAUUUAUUUUAGUUCGUUUCGUAUAUAUGGAAUCUUUAAUUUCAUCUUUCUUUUUUUUUUUUUUUGGUAACUAGCCACCAACCUUUCCUAGAAAGUUUUGAACAUCACAACCUUUUUAAUCUGCUUUUUAGGUUAAUUAUAGUGUAUACUUAUUUCUAUAUCCCAAAAGGAAUAUAUCUAGAUGCAAAAGAGCUUAAAAUAAUAUUUUUACAUAUAUAAUGCCACAUAUAAAUAAGAUACAUGUAUGCAUAAAUGAUUAAUGUACGAGCAUAACUCAAACUUUUAAAACAUACAACGAAAAUGCACUUCUUUUGCUGAUCUGUCACUGUUAGAUUGGUCGUUGUUCAAUACAGAAACAACAAAUAAAUCAUUUUACGAACAUUCUACUAUUAUAGAAUAAUAGUCUAAAUCUCCUUUCCUUUGAAUAUAAUAUCAUUAUAGAAUAUUAUAUCAUUACGAAUAUUAUGUCAUUAUAGAAUAAUAGUCUAAUUUUCCCUUCCAUUGCAUUCUCUCAUUGUUGUAAUUUAGUCAUUAUAAAUCAUUAUAGAAUUAUAGUCUAACUCCCCCUUUAGAAUUCUAAAAAAUACCCAAUAUGUAAUGCCACAUAUUAAUAAGAUGCAUUAUGCAUACAUGGCUAAUAUACGAGCAUGACUCAGACUUUUAAACCAUACAAGCAAAAUACACUUCUUUUGCUGAUCAGUCACUGUUAGAUUGGUCGUUGUUCAAUACAGAAACAACAAAUAAAUCAUGUUACGAACAUUCUGUUAUUACAGAAUAAUAAUCUAAAUCUUAUUUCCUUUGAAUAUUAUAUCAUUAUAGAAUAUUCUAUCAUUACGAAUAUUAUAUCAUUAUAGAAUAAUAGUCUAAUUCCCCCUUACAUUGCAUUCUCUCAUUGUUGUAAUUUAGUCAUUAUAAAUCAUUAUAGAAUAAUAGUCUAAUUCCCCCUUUAGAAUUCUAAAAAAUACCCACUAUGUAAUGCCACAUAUAAAUAAGAUGCAUUAUGCAUACAUGGCUAAUGUACGAGCAUGACUCAGACUUUUAAACUAUACAACCACAGAGCAGUUCGUUUGCUGAUCAGUCACUGUUAUACUUCUCAUUGUUAAAUACACAAACAGCAAAUAAAUCAUUUUACGAAUAUUAUAUCAUUAUAGAAUAAUAGUCUAAUUCCCCCUUCCAUUGCAUUCUCUCAUUGUUGUAAUUUACCAAAAUAAUACAUUACUAAAUGAAAGGAUAUGUAAAGCUCUAUUAGUGAAUCUGUAUAAGCAUUUGGCAUGCAAGAAAAAUAUUGGUCAACUACGAUCUUCUGAGUUCAUAGAACAUCAUAACAUAAAAUUAAAAACUUGUGUCCGUACUUGCAGAAAAAAAACAAAUCCAAAAUAUAAUUUAAUCUAGAGAACCUUAUAAAAAAAUUAAAUAUUUAAUAAAUAUAUAAAAAUAAUAUCUUGUAACAGAAAAUAUUAUGGAUAAGUUUCAACGUUGGCUUAAUAGUUUACCUUAAUUAUAUAAUUCAUGAUACAAAUUACCAAUCUUUUUUUUGGAAUCUCAUAUCACCAAUCCUAUAACUAAAUAUAUAAAGACAACAACAUUAAUUAAAAUAUGAAAACAUUAAAUCAAGUUUAUUCACUUGGUUCAGGUUUGCCAUCAUCACAAUGUCCACAUCCCGCAGGAUCAGAAGAUGAACCACCACCGUCUUUUCCCAACCAGUGUGAAUCCUUACCGAAUAAGCAAUAAGACAAAUGUACAAACGCUUGGUGCCUCUGCUUUAACUCCUCGAUACUCAAGCCUUCCACAGGAAUAUUCCACCACUUUUUGUCUAACUUAUUUUCAAUUACAAAUUCCUUCAGUUUCUUUUCCUUCUCUUUCUCCAUCUCUAGCUCCUUAGCGAGAUCAUAAUUCUUUUCCAUGAGGUUCUAGAUCCUGAGUGUUCUAUUUUUGGUAGGUGAAAUGAAACCAUCAGGGUCCCCAAUACAUAUAUAUAUGUAAAAAGAAAUAUAUGGAAGGAUGGUACAUUGUUUUUAGACAUUUAAUGUUCAUGAAAAGAGUAUUUUGACUAAUUUACAUAUUUGACUGGUAAACGGGCAGUCACUUUAAUAUAUAUAGAAACUCUUUAGUCAUUAUUGUAAAGUUAUAGUCAAUAAAUUACUAUAGAAAAUUGGUAAUUCAAUUGGUGAAAAUGGUAAGAGCAUAUUUACAAUUUUAAUACAAUGAUAAUUUGUCAAACUCAAAAUAUAUAUUGUUAUUUCUAUAUAACUUAAAUAUCAACUGAUUUCUGAUUUAAAAUUAGUAAAUAAAUCUGUGAGAGAAUAAUUUCGUAGGAUUUUAAUGAAUUAAAGAUUAUCAUUUAUAAAUUUCAUCUCUCUUUUUUUCGUUUAUAUUUUUGAACUUUUGUGUGGUGCCAAUCAAAUCAACACACAUACACAGAAUUUUAAAAAUCAUGAAUAUGUAAUUCAAGAUUAAACAAAAAAUCACAUACAGUGAGACGAUAAAAUUUAAAUACUCAGUAAGAAGCAAGAAAAUUGUGGGAUAAAUAAAGAAAAAAAUGUGAAGGAAUCAAAAGAGGUUCAUGCAUUCUUAAAUUAAGGAACAAGGUUUUAUGACAGAGUAGUACUGGUUUGUUAAAGACUGAGAAGUGAAUAGGAAGAGAUGAAUAUAGUACAUCUUUGAUGAGUAAGAACAGUAUGAAGACGAUGAGUCGACGGGUUAGUGAUAGUGUCAUUGAUAUUGUGGUCCAGGAGAUGAGCUAGUGAAAGACACCAACCAAAACAAAUAGAAAACGUCUAUGACGAAAAAAAUAUUUAUGCGUUUAAAUUUUUUUGGUGUUUCAAAGAUGAGAAGAGUUUACGAAGUGUUAUAAUGUGGAGGUUUUUAAGUAUCUACUGGCUGAAAUUUUUUCGUUGAUAUUAAAAAUCUCAUAUACCCGAAAACUAAUCCUUUUUUAUCUUAGGGAUUUAUUUUAGUUGGUUUCAUAUACCCGAAAACUAAUCCUUUUUUAUCUUAGGGAUUUAUUUUAGUUGAUUUCGUAUAUUUUGUAACUAGCCACCAACCUUUCCUACAAAGUUUUGAACAUCACAACCUUUUUAAUCUGCUUUUUAGGUUAAUUAUAGUGUAUACUUAUUUCUAUAUCCCAAAAGAAAUAUAUCUAGAUGCAAAAGAGCUUAAAAGAAUAUUUUCACAUAUAUAAUGCCACAUAUAAAUAAGAUGCAUGUACGCAUACAUGAUUAAUGUACGAGCAUAACUCAAACUUUUAAACGAUACAACCAAAAGGCACUUCUUUUGCUGAUCAGUCACUGUUAGAUUGGUCGUUGUUCAAUACAGAAACAGCAAAUAAAUCAUUUUACGAACAUUCUAUCAUUACAGAAUAACAGUCUAAAUCUCCUUUCCUUUGCAUUCUCUCAUUGUUGUAAUUUACCUAAAUAAUACAUUACUAAAUCAAAGGAGAUGUAAUGCUCUAGUAGUGAACUUGCAUAAGCAUUUGGCAUGCAGGAAAAACAUUGGUCAACUACAAUCUCCUGAGUUCAUGGAACAUCAUAAUAUAAAAUUAAAAACUUGUGUUCAUACUUGCAGAAAAAGGCAAAUCGAAAAUAUAAUUUAAUCUAGAGAACCCUAUAAAAAUUUAAAUUAUUUAAUAAACAUAUAAAAAAGAUAUCUUGUAACACAAAAUAUUAUGGAUAAGUUUCAACAUUGGCUUAAUAGGUUACUUUAAUUAUAUAAUUCAUGAUACAAAUUACCAAUCUUUUUGGGAAUCUCAUAUCACCAAUCCCAUAACUAAAUAUAUAAAGACAACAACAUUAAUUAAAAAAUGAAAACAUUAAAUCAAGUUUAUUCACAUGGUUCAGUUUUGCCAUCAUCACAAUGUCCACGUCUCGCAGGAUCAGAAGAUGAACCACCACCGUCUUUUCCCAACCAGUGUGAAUCCUUACCGAAUAAGCUAGAAGACAAAUGUACAAAAGCUUGGUGCCUCUGCUUUAACUCCUCGAUACUCAAGCCUACCACAGGAAUAUUCCACCACUUUUUGUCUAACUUAUUUUCAAUUACAAAUUCCUUCAGUUUGUUUUCCUUCUCUUUCUCCAUCUCUAGCUCCUUAGCGAGAUCAUAAUUCUUUUCCGUGAGGUUCUAGAUCCGGUGUGUUUUAUUUUUGGUAGGUGAAAUGAAACCAUCAGGAUCCCCAAUACAUAGAUAUAAAAGAGAUAUAUGGAAGGAUGGUGUAAUAACCCUCACGAGCAGAUAUAAUUUUGGUCGAGAAAAUUCUUUAAGAUCAGUUUGAAGAUUGAUCGAUCAGAAUUUAAAUAAAAAUCGACACGGUGAAUUAAUCUCGACGGGGCUGUCUUUUGGUCGAAAAACCAUCUCUUGAUGGUUCUGGUCGAGUGUUAACUAUUAUUGUCGAUUUUUAUUCAUGAUGGGCGAGUUUAUUUAGAGCAGGACGAGAUUCGAAUGAUGAAAAAUAUUUAGUCGAAACAGUCCAAAAUAUAUCAAAAAAAACUUAAAAUUAUUUCUGAACAGUCACAUGCUUUGCACCUUCUAGCCUACUUGCUUCCUCAGUAAUUAAGUCACAUGACCUGCACCAACUUGCUUGCCUGCUUGCUCAUUAAUUCAGUCACAUGAUUGUCACCAGCUGCUUGCAGCUUUCUUCUUGGGACGGAAAGAACAGCAGCUUGCUGUUGGAAGUGCUGAAGCUGCUCUCCACAUGUCCUUUAUCAGCCUUGCUUUGUGCUGAGUGAAACCCUCACCUGAGCAACUUCUUAUGUUAUAAAACACCAUCUUCUCUCUUCUGGUCGUCCAUAACCACAAGAAAGCAGAGAAAAUAUUCAGAGAAAAUCAGUGAGAAAGAUUGAGAGAAAAAUCAGAGAAAAAUCAGAGAAAAUUCAGAAAACUCCUUGGAUGAUUUUUUUUCAUCACCUUAGUUCAGUCUGAUGAUGUGUGGAAGAUAAAAAGUCCAGCUGUGAGCUAAGCUUGAAGAAGAGAAUCAUCUGAGUUCAUCUGGCCACCAGUUGUUGUUGUCAGUGGUCGAGUAAAGUUGAAGGAUAAGACUGGUUCAUCAUGUAAAACCGUUUUCUGUCUAGUUGGUUGUGGAGUUUUUCUAGAUCGGUCCAGUCACUCCUUGUAGCCGCUCAGUCACUUGGUUUGAAUUCAGAUAUCAAGGAGAGUGGUCGGAUCAGUCAGAUAAUUGUGCUGUUUUGAAUCUCAAGUGUACCAGAAGUGGAGUGUGAUUAGCUUGAGCUCGAGUCUAGUCUUGAUUAGCCAAUCUCAAAGAAUCAAAGGUGAGUCUAGAUAGAUGAUUGAUGAGUAGUGAAUGAAUAUUUAUUGAUUGAAUGCACUGAUUGUAGAUGAUUGACAGGCUAUGUCUCUUGAUCAAUAUUGAAUUGGUGAGGUGUUUACUUAGUGUAAACGCUUAUUAAAUAUUGAUGAAUGUUCAUAGAGGUUUACUCCCGAGCCAUAGUACGUACUUGUUCUCAAGUACUAAUAUAUAAUAUAAUUAAGUAUGGAAGUAUUAAUCAUGUGAAGUCUUAUUAUAAACUUGUCUUCCAUAAUAUUCCCGUAUGAAUGAUGAUUACCGUGAAUUGGUCCUGCGAUAUCGAACAAGGUCACGAAGACACGAUGAUGGGGUUGCACCCUGGAGGCCGUGUAACUGCAUGCAGCGUUAGAUGUUCGAUCUUUGAAUAUC